UUUUCAUCAAAUGGGAACCUGGUGACCAUUAUUCAGUCAUGCCUUUGUCACCUCAAGGCCAGGCUAUUGUAGGCCACACAUAGUUGAAAUGUUUCAGCUGGUAAUAGAGGAUAUUGUGACCUGCCUACUAAUGAUGCCAGGGUAGUAGCAGUGCUCCACUGUCUGUGUUGUCUUCUUGUUUCACAGGCCAGAACUCCGAAGGAUGGGUGAAAAAUCUGGGCCAGAACUUCGUUUCCCUCCAGACCUGCCAACAUUGGGGAACCACUGCCUUCUUUCUUCUUGACAAUCACCUGUAGCAGACCUGUAAUAUUGAGAAGGCAGAUGCUUGAUCCCUUUCAAAAGACCUGUGUCGUGUAUGACAAGCAGCAAGGUACUCAGCUGCAAUCCCCACAGAUUCAUUCAAAGGCACGGGUACGUUUGGGUGCAAUCUUGCAAACUGGCCAUGCUUUCAGAGUAAGAAGGACUUUUAGGAUGGUGUUUCUUAGCUACAGCCAACAGUACAACCUGCAGCCACCAACCAUUCUUUGCAGCCCUAGCAAUCCUCCUGGGAUUUCCAUCUGCUCUAAUCUCAGCCUCCAGGAAGCAAGCAAUUUCUGCAUUUUCUACUGAGAUGUUUUCCACUUGUUGUCAUGUUUUCAAUAUGUGAACACAAUAAAAUAAUAAUCUUGGUCCUCCUUUCCCCUUUU
rnacentral:lncRNA from 1 species